GUCUGAUUGUAGUUGUCUUAUUUGGUUGUUCGUGGCGCUGCUAGCGGGAGUGUUCAAGAACACGGAUGCCCACAACGAGGACUGCCUCAUUAACACGCUCUUCCGAAUGGUUUCUGAAUUGCAAGUGACUGUGAAGGAAAUAAAGUCGGAAGUCACUGAUUUAAAAAGUGAAUUGAAGAAUGAAAGAGAAAAGAG